rnacentral:rRNA from 1 species
GACGAACGCUGGCGGCGUGCUUAACACAUGCAAGUCGAACGCUGAAGCUCAGCUUUUGUUGGGUGGAUGAGUGGCGAACGGGUGAGUAACACGUGAGUAACCUGCCUCCUUCUUUGGGAUAACGCCCGGAAACGGGUGCUAAUACUGGAUAUUCACUGGUCUUCGCAUGGGGGUUGGUGGAAAGGGUUUUUCUGGUGGGGGAUGGGCUCGCGGCCUAUCAGCUUGUUGGUGGGGUGAUGGCCUACCAAGGCUUUGACGGGUAGCCGGCCUGAGAGGGUGACCGGUCACAUUGGGACUGAGAUACGGCCCAGACUCCGACGGGAGGCAGCAGUGGGGAAUAUUGCACAAUGGGCGCAAGCCUGAUGCAGCGACGCCGCGUGAGGGAUGGAGGCCUUCGGGUUGUGAACCUCUUUCGCUCAUGGUCAAGCCGCAACAAUGGUUGUGGUGAGGGUAGUGGGUAAAGAAGCGCCGGCUAACUACGUG